rnacentral:lncRNA from 1 species
AUGCACACGGCUGACUUCCUCCCCCGCCUCGCCAGCCACUCUGGCCCCACGGUCGCGGUGCUGUUGAGCACGGCAGGCAGGGGCGCGGCCGUGGCCCUCCCGCUGUGGGCGGCAGCUGUCUCUCUGGGGUGGGGGCCUUGCUGCGGUGCUGACAGACAGCACCCUGGGCACAGCAGGGGCAGAAACCGGGUGCUGAGUGGAACACAGACCAGGGCACGAGACUCCAAACAGAACAGCUACUGGACGGCAGAGUCCAGGGCUGGGGGCUCAGACCCCUGGCUGAGGGGCACGGCCCCAAGGGGCACACGACGGAUAAGACGAGACGGACCUGGGGCAGCAAGAGCCCCACCCCUGCUCUGUGCCAGGAUGCAUCCAGAUCUCCCCUGGAGGAGGCAGCCAGGGGCUCUGCCGGGACUGGACAGGGUGAUGGGUCGGGGCCCCUGGGAUGGAGGGCAGGAGGGGCCGCUGUCAGAGUCUCUCUCCCCAGCCCCAGCAUCCCUCGGCGCCCACUCGGUUUUGCAUCUACAGAUGUGGCCAUCACGUGUCCCUACUCCUGGACACGUGCACCUGCCAGCUGACGCAGGCUGCCUACGCCACGGCCAGUCAGUGCUGUCGGGGAGAUGCCCUCUCCCCCUCAGCCACAGGCCCCGCCUGGGCCACCACCAGCUCCCAGGGGACCGUAGCUGUGUCCCCAUCCCACACCAGGGAACUGGGGAGCCCUGCAGAACACCUGAGCUCACCACCACCGGGGCUGUCCCCAGCACGCCGCUGGGAGGGGCUCGCGGAGGGCCCGGGGGACUCACCCUCGGCCGCAGACCGCAGCCAGGAGCACCACUCCGAAUACAGGUAGUAGCUUUGCAUUUCCGCCACGGAAAUCCACACGGGCCUGCGGGCUGCCACGCCGGCGCGCUGGGCGCCACAGCGCAAGCACGGGCGCUGCCCCACGCUCACCAUCCUCCCUCUGCUCGGCCCACAGCUCGGGCCCUGCACUUUCCCCCUAGAGUCUGCGGGAGCGGCCGGCCGAGUUCUGAGCCAGGACAGGGCAUCAAAAGGCAAUUACCGCCGAGGCUACCACGUGGCCGCGCCCUGCCUGUUGACACACGGAUGUCGGGCGGGGCCCCUGGGCACUGA